rnacentral:rRNA from 1 species
UACGUAGGGUGCAAGCGUUGUCCGGAAUUAUUGGGCGUAAAGAGCUCGUAGGCGGUUUGUCGCGUCUGCCGUGAAAGUCCGGGGCUCAACUCCGGAUCUGCGGUGGGUACGGGCAGACUAGAGUGUGGUAGGGGGAGACUGGAAUUCCUGGUGUAGCGGUGGAAUGCGCAGAUAUCAGGAGGAACACCGAUGGCGAAGGCAGGUCUCUGGGCCACUACUGACGCUGAGAAGCGAAAGCAUGGGGAGCGAACAGG